GAUGAACGCUAGCGGCAGGCCUAACACAUGCAAGUCGAGGGGGAGGUUACUUUCGGGUGACUGAGACCGGCGUACGGGUGCGUAACGCGUAUACAAUCUGCCUUUCACUGGGGGAUAGCCCGAAGAAAUUUGGAUUAAUACCCCAUAGUAUAUAGGGACGGCAUCGUUUUUAUAUUAAAGCUACGGUGGUGAAAGAUGAGUAUGCGUUCUAUUAGCUAGUUGGAGAGGUAACGGCUCCCCAAGGCGAUGAUAGAUAGGGGUUCUGAGAGGGAUGUCCCCCACACUGGUACUGAGAUACGGACCAGACUCCUACGGGAGGCAGCAGUGAGGAAUAUUGGACAAUGGUCGGAAGACUGAUCCAGCCAUGCCGCGUGCAGGAUGACGGCCUUAUGGGUUGUAAACUGCUUUUGUAAGGGAAGAAUAAGGGCUACGC
rnacentral:rRNA from 1 species